GAGCGUCUCUGUGAGAGCCGAGGGGAAAUUUGAAGGCUUGUAUUUUUAACCUCUAAUGCAAAUAGAGUUUGAAAAAAGACAUUAUCGUUCUGGGCACGAGACCCCUUGCCUAUAAAUGCAAAGAUUGAAUUAAGUCAGUGUUUUUCUAAACUUUGUUCAUGUACAUAGUCAUUUACGUACAAUUGCCUUCGUGAUUGUUGCUGUAUCCUACCCUAAUCUGUCUGUGCUAAGUCAUUUCAGUCAUGUAUUAGACAUUUCAGUCUAAGUAAUUCACCUGGUGGGCUACAGUCCAUGGAGUCUCAAAGAAUCGGACGCGACUGAGUGACUAAUACUUUCAGUUUCGCUUCUUUACACUGAUGGCAGGCAUGCCACAGGUAAGACACAUUGGUGUAAUGCCAGGUAUUGGUGUAAUGGUUCCAUUAUGUUUACCAUUCCAGAUUUAUUCCCAACCCUUCUCCACCCAGAAGGGCCUAGAAGACCCUUCCUUGACUUAAGGCAUUAUGGAGAGCUCUGUGGUUUUAUCCUCUGUAGGGCAGAUAUGAUGGCUUCCCUGGUGACUCAACAGUAAAAUAUCUGCCUCCCAUUUGGGAGCCGCAGGAGGCAUGGAUUCAAUCCCUGGGGCGGGAGAUGCCCUGGAUAAGGGGAUGGCAAUCCACUUCAGUAUUCUUGCCUGGAGAAUCCCAUGGACAGAGGAACCUGGCGGACUACAGUCCACGGGGUUGCAAAGAGUUGGACACGACUGAAUGACUUAACAGUAGCAGCAGCAGGGCAGGUAUAAUGAUGGAGGUUGCUGCUUUGGAAUAUCAGUGGGAAAUAUAGGAUUCUGAAAUAACAGAGGCCAAGUCUCUCAGAGACAAGGAGGGUGCAAUUACCACACUAAGUCACAGGAUGGAAUGGGAGUCAGGAUGCUUUGACCAGCAGGGAUAUGUGGUGGUGACUAAAAGAUCAUGUCUCUAGAAAACAAUCUAUGGACUUCCUGUUAAGGUGCUGCUUGGCAUAAAAAGGUAAGUUUCUAGGUUCACUGAGCCCAACUCAAGUCACCACAGUAGAAUUCACAUUCCCUUACCUGCUUCCCAGACCUGGAGCCCCUUAUCUGAGGGGAGACAAGGUCUCUGUGAGAAAGACUGCAUAUGUAUAUUAUGGAAGUUUUCCUAGGUCUUCUCUGGAGAGACUAGAAGCAGUUUACUAUGGUGACUGUAUAGAGUGGAGUGGGGGAAGAGAAAUACCCAGACUUUCUGGAGGUUAUUAGACAGUGGUUCUGAAUCUGAAAAGCCUAACAGUUUGCCAAUUAAAUCUUUGGAAAUCAGACGAGAGACAGAAUUGGUCCACAUCCAUCUAAUAGUGUGUGUGUGUGUGUUGGCGGGGGGGGGGGUAGUUAAAUGACUCUAUCUUGUGGUUACUUCCCUAGACCCAGAAUGUAUAGUCAGGAGAUAUGCCUAGUGAUUGAUAGAAUUCCAUACUGAUUCCUACACCAGUGGAAUUAAGUCUAUAAUGGUAGGACAGGCCAAGUGGAAGGAAGCUUCUAGACCUGUACUGCUUCCUCCAAUCCCCUUGACAAGAUGGUAAGACCUGUAGGGAGAAUGAUAGCAAUUAGCAUCGCCACUGAAGGCUUGAGAGAUAAAGGGAAGCGAAGAUGACCUACCACAUCCCUAUUUAACUCAAUUGUUUGGCUGAUGCAAAUGCUACAUGGGUUAUGGGCACACAGUGGAUUAUUGCAAAAUAAAUCAGGUGAUGAUGCCAGUUGUAGCUUAAGUUCUAGAUGUGGUAGCUUUAUUGGAACGAAUUAGUAAAGCCCAUGGAAUGUCAUAUGUGGUUAUUGUUCUGGCAGAUGCUUUCUUUCAAUUCCAAUCAGUAAGAAAAAUCAGAAGCAAUUUGCUUUUAAAGGGUGGGAACAAUACAGACUUAAAUUGUCUUGCCUCAAGACUGUGUCACCUUUCUUGUAAUCCAUCAUAAAAUAGUCCUGAGGGUCCUUGAUCAUCUUCAAAUCCCAUUUGAAACCAUGCUAGUCCAUUCCAUUGAAAACACAAUGCCACAGGUUUUGAUUAGCAUGAAGAAUCAAGCCAGAAGGUGGAAGAUAAAUACUGGAAAAGUUUAUGGGGUUCAUGCCAUUUCUAGAGGCAUAGGAGCAUGGGACAUGUCAAGAUAGCUAAAGCGAAAUGCAAGUUGAGGCAGCUUGCACCACUGGGCAAGAUGAGAGAAGCACAAUGCUUUGUUUUUUUGUGUGUGUGUUUUGAGGACAAUGUAUAUACUACAUAGUGUAUGGCUUGAAAGGUGGCCAGUUUUGAGUGGGACUUAGGUCAAGAAAGAAAAUUAAAAUACUUCUUUGAGCCCCUUUUUUUUGCGGGGGGGCGGCGGCAAGAAUACUGGAGUGUGUUGCCAUUCCCUUCUCCAGGAGAUCUUCCUGACCCAGGGAUUGAACCCGGGUUUCUCACAUUGUAGGCAGAUGUUUUACUGUCUGAGCCACCAGGG
ensembl:lncRNA